CUAAUAUCGGUACUGAAAAUCACUUUCGCACAAGAUCGAAAUCAUAUGGAACCUUGAGAAGUAGAGAGGAUCACCUCAAAAACAGUAUUGUCAGUGUAUGGUGUCUAAAACACAGGACUAGUCACCUGGUGAAGUACAGGUGACAUAAUUUUUAGAAUUCAGGAAGUUACUUGAUGGCAAAAUCUUGAAGAUAUAUAGAUUACAUUGGGAAGCCAGUCAGAACGUUCUCUUCCUUUUUUAAACCUCUUGCUACUGAACAAGGACCAAAAUUCUUAUGCAUAUAUGACAUGUUCUUGUAUUGCCUUCUUUAUAGAUCUUAAUAAAUUUUAAAACAAA